rnacentral:rRNA from 1 species
UACCAGCACCCCGAGUGGUCGGGACGAUUAUUGGGCCUAAAGCAUCCGUAGCCGGUCCUACAAGUCUUCCGUUAAAUCCACCUGCUUAACAGAUGGGCUGCGGAAGAUACUAUAGGGCUAGGAGGCGGGAGAGGCAAGCGGUACUCAGUGGGUAGGGGUAAAAGUACCUCUGAUCCAUUGAAGACCACCAGUGGCGAAGGCGGCUUGCCAGAACGCGCUCGACGGUGAGGGAUGAAAGCUGGGGGAGCAAACCGG